rnacentral:rRNA from 1 species
UACAGAGGUCUCAAGCGUUGUUCGGAUUCAUUGGGCGUAAAGGGCGCGUAGGCGGCGAGGUAAGUCGGGUGUGAAAUCUCAGAGCUCAACUCUGAAACUGCACUCGAUACUGCUUUGCUAGAGGACUGGAGAGGAGAUUGGAAUUCACGGUGUAGCAGUGAAAUGCGUAGAUAUCAGGAGGAACACCUAUGGCGAAGGCAGCUCGCUGGGACGGUACUGACGCUGAGACGCGAAAGCGUGGGGAGCAAACAGG